AAGUACUGAAAUGCAAUAAAAGGUAACUCAACAAGAUGAUACAAAUAACAGGUGAAUAAAAGUGCAAUCAGGGGGUGAAUCUAAGAAGUCUUAAGGAUGGAUUCAUUGAUAAGGGCAAUUCUAGGGUUCAUC
rnacentral:sRNA from 1 species